GCUGUAGCUCUAUGGUAGAGCAUCUGCUUUGCAUGCAGAAGGUCUCAGGUCCAAUUCCUAGUUAAAGCU